rnacentral:rRNA from 1 species
UACGGAGGAUGCAAGCGUUAUCCGGAAUUAUUGGGCGUAAAGCGUCCGCAGGUGGCACUUCAAGUCUGCUGUCAAAGACCGGGGCUUAACCCUGGAAAGGCAGUGGAAACUGAAGCGCUGAGAGUGUGGCAGGGGUAGAGGGAAGUUCCCGGGUGUAGCGGUGAAAUGCGUAGGAGAUCAGGAAGAACACCGGGUGGCGAAAGGCGCUCUGCUAGGCCGCAACUGACACUGAGGGACGAAAGCUAGGGGAGCGAAUGGGAUU